rnacentral:lncRNA from 1 species
CGGAGGGCCCAAAGGGGCGCCGCGGAGUCGACGUUAGGAGGGCCGGGGGGCCCAAAGGGGUGUCGCGGGGUCGACGUUAGGAAGGCCGGGGGGCCCAAAGGGGUGUCGCGGAGUCGACGUAAGGAAGGCCGGGGGGCCCAAAGGGGUGUCGCGGGGUCGACGUUAGGAAGGCCGGAGGGCCCAAAGGGGUGUCGCGGAGUCGACGCUAGGAAGGCCGGAGGGCCCAAAGGGGUGUCGCGGAGUCGACGUUAGGAAGGCCGGAGGGCCCAAAGGGGUGUCGCGGAGUCGACGUUAGGAAGGCCGGAGGGCCCAAAGGGAUGUCGCGGAGUCGACGCUAGGAAGGCCGGAGGGCCCAAAGGGGUGUCGCGGAGUCGACGUUAGGAGGGCCGGAGGGCCCAAAGGGUGUUGCGGAGUCGACGUUAGGAAGGCCGGAGGCCCCAAAGGGGUGUCGCGGAGUCGACGUUAGGAGGGCCGGAGGGCCCAAAGGAGGGUUGCGGAGUCGACGUUAGGAAGGCCGGAGGCCCCAAAGGGGUGUCGCGGAGUCGACGUUAGGAGGGCCGGAGGGCCCAAAGGAGGGUUGCGGAGUCGACGUUAGGAAGGCCGGAGGGCCCAAAGGAGGGUUGCGGAGUCGACGUUAGGAAGGCCGGAGGGCCCAAAGGGGCGCCGCGGAGUCGGUGUUCGGAUCGCCGGAGGACCCAAGGUAGGGUGGCACGGAGUUGAUGCUAGGAAGGCCGGAGAGCCCAAGCUGGAGUAUUGCGAGGUCGAAUUUAGUAGACCGGAGUGUUUGGGGGAAA